UUAGGCAAGAUGGUUUAAGGUUUUAAAACCCUGGGUGGCCACAUAAACCAUUGUUAAACACCACCAUCAAACAACAUGUCACACACCUUUUCCAUCUUCUCCCUCUGUUUCUCUAAAAUCGUUGGUUGAUCAUCCUCUCACCCAUCUUCACCACAUCGAACCUACCUAAAUCGAAGCCAAUCAAUUAGUUCUCCCAAAAUCGGAAGAUGAAAAUAGAUUUGGAUUUAUACUGAGAACAAAUCUAACUUUGUAGAGUCUAAAGGAAUUGAAAGAGAUGGAGCAAAUAACUCCUUGAGUCAACACUAUUACUGCUAAAACUCCCAAAUGUCUGCAACAAUUACUCAAUGGAACCGUAAGCUUUGAAGGACGUUUUCUCUUUGCUUGAUGUAAAACUUGGGCAAAAUCUAUAGUUAGAAGAACUAAUUGUUCGCAUGGGAAGUAAUCUUUUACAUCUCUCAAUAAAGUAUCUUUCAUGGAUAGUUUAUAUGUAAUUGCUUUUAUUCGUUCAUUCACUGAUAUGUAUCUAUUUUGUGGAUUUUUUUCUUUUUCUUUUUGUGAUGAAUUAUGUGCUUCUGUUCGUCUGUUUUAAAUUAAUGUGUAUAUAAAAGUUAUGAUGAUAUUAGUUAGUAAUAUUCAUUGAUUUUCUUUA